rnacentral:tRNA from 1 species
GGGCCCGUAGCUCAGCGGUUAGAGCGGUGGACUCAUAAUCCAUCGGUCCCAGGUUCGAUCCCUGGCGGGCCCA